AUUUUGCUCAAACCUCAAAAGUUUUCAUAUAUUAAAAUCCGUGUUAAUCUGCUUUGGAAGAAAGGGAUUUUAAAGACUAUCAAUACAACAUUAUAUAGUAAAGUCAAGCUUUCAAGAAAUGGACGUUCCACAAUAAAAUAACUGAACAUUGCAACGAACCACGGGAUUUUGAAAUGGCAAUACAGUAUCUGCAAGAAGCCGCCAUUAUAAAACUGUUCACAUAUGAUUGUUGAUAUUUACAUAAUUUACUGGAGAAUUUGAAUGCGUAUAUUGUCCUACGUUUUCCAAUGAGUCGACAAGUGUUUCAUUCGCAAACUAAAGCCUAUCAGAAGCUUCACAUACAGUAUGAAGAUUUAUACAACAGCGAUAAAAUAUCAAGCGUUUCUUACCUUUUAAAAUUUGAAGACAGGACGGUUCCACAUUUACUGGCAGUUCGUCCUUUUGUCUGUGAAAUACAACUCCAUUCGCAGUGGAAAUAUUGUUUGGUUAUGCAAUUGAAGAGCUCUAAAGGUUUUAGAAUUAGGUUCUUUUGUUGGGUACUUGCAAUGCUACAAAAAACUGAAGGUACUACCUUAUUUAUACUAUAAAAUAUGGGCCAUGCUAUUUAAUAUUCAGCCCCCACCCCCUAUGGACGAGUUUUCCUGAAGGGUAACCUCGACGUUGUUUCUGAGGGGUUAAGCCAAUUUGGCAUCCUUUGAUUUAUGCGAUUUUUCUGAGGGGGUUUUGUGUCGGCACUAAUUUGAUCUUGUUUUCUUGGGGGUUAAAAUUUU